rnacentral:rRNA from 1 species
UACGAGGGGGGCGAGCGUUGUUCGGAAUUACUGGGCGUAAAGGGCGCGCAGGCGGCCUGCCAAGUCAGAUGUGAAAGCCCCGGGCUCAACCUGGGAAUGGCAUUUGGGACUGGCGGGCUAGAGAUCGGGAGAGGAGAGUGGAAUUCCCAGUGUAGAGGUGAAAUUCGUAGAUAUUGGGAAGAACACCGGUGGCGAAGGCGACUCUCUGGACCGAUACUGACGCUGAGGCGCGAAAGCGUGGGGAGCAAACAGG